UACGGAGGAUCCAAGCGUUAUCCGGAUUUAUUGGGUUUAAAGGGUGCGUAGGCGGUACGGUAAGUUAGAGGUGAAAACCCGUGGCUCAACCACGGACGUGCCUCUGAUACUGCCGUGCUAGAGAGUAGAUGCGGUAGGCGGAAUGUGUGGUGUAGCGGUGAAAUGCUUAGAGAUCACACAGAACACCGAUUGCGAAGGCAGCUUACCAAUCUAUAUCUGACGUUGAGGCACGAAAGCGUGGGUAGCAAACAGGAUUAGAUACCCUGGUAGUCCACGCAGUAAACGAUGAUAGCUCGUUGUCGGCGAUACACAGUCGGUGACUUAGCGAAAGCGUUAAGCUAUCCACCUGGGGAGUACGUUCGCAAGAAUGAAACUCAAAGGAAUUGACGGGGGCCCGCACAAGCGGAGGAACAUGUGGUUUAAUUCGAUGAUACGCGAGGAACCUUACCCGGGCUUGAAAGUUAGUGACGGUGGUCGAAAGAUCACUUCCCUUCGGGGCACGAAACUAGGUGCUGCAUGGUUGUCGUCAGCUCGUGCCGUGAGGUGUCGGAUUAAGUUCCAUAACGAGCGCAACCCUUGCCGUUAGUUGCCAUCAGGUUAUGCUGGGCACUCUAACGGGACUGCCGGUGUAAGCCGAGAGGAAGGUGGGGAUGACGUCAAAUCAGCACGGCCCUUACGUCCGGGGCGACACACGUGUUACAAUGGUCGGUACAGAGGGCAGCUACCCAGCGAUGGGAUGCGAAUCUCGAAAGCCGAUCUCAGUUCGGAUCGGAGGCUGAAACUCGCCUCCGUGAAGUUGGAUUCGCUAGUAAUCGCGCAUCAGCCAUGGCGCGGUGAAUACGUUCCCGGGCCUU
rnacentral:rRNA from 1 species